GACGAACCGUGCGAACGUUGCUCGGAAUCACUGGGCUUAAAGGGCGCGUAGGCGGACAAGCAAGUCGGAGGUGAAAUCCCACGGCUCAACCGUGGAAGUGCCCCCGAUACUACUUGUCUUGAGGGAGAUAGGGGCGUGCGGAACUUCCGGUGGAGCGGUGAAAUGCGUAGAUAUCGGAAGGAACACCGGUGGCGAAAGCGGCGCGCUGGAUCUCUUCUGACGCUGAGGCGCGAAAGCCAGGGGAGCAAACGGG
rnacentral:rRNA from 1 species